UACAGAGGGUGCGAGCGUUAAUCGGAAUUACUGGGCGUAAAGCGCGCGUAGACGGCUUCGUAAGUCGGAUGUGAAAUCCCCGGGCUCAACCUGGGAACUGCAUUCGAAACUGCAUUGCUAGAGUAUGGAAGAGGGAAGUGGAAUUUCCGGUGUAGCGGUGAAAUGCGUAGAUAUCGGAAGGAACACCAGUGGCGAAGGCGAGUCCCUGGACGAUACCUGACACUGAGGCACGAAAGCCAAGGGAGCAAACAGG
rnacentral:rRNA from 1 species